rnacentral:rRNA from 1 species
GACGAACGCUGGCGGCGUGCUUAACACAUGCAAGUCGAACGGAAAGGCCCGGCGUUUGUUGCUUUCUCGUUUGGCGAACGGGGGAGUAACACGUGAGUAUCCUGCCCUUGACUUUGGGAUAACUCCAGGAAACUGGGGCGAAUACCGGAUAGGAUCUCCUGCUGCAUGGUGUGGGUUGGUAAGUUUCGGCGGUUGUGGCUGGACUCGCUGCUUAUCAGCUUGUUUGUGAGGUAGUUGCUUACCAAGGCUUUGACGGGUAGCCUGCCUGAGAGGGUGACCGGCGACAUUGGGACUGCGAUACGGCCCAGACUCCUACGGGCGGCAGCAGUGGGGAAUAUUGCACAGUGAGCGGACGCGUGAUGCAGCAACGCCGCGUGCGGGAUAACGGCCUUCGGGUUGUAAACCGCUUUCGAAGGUGACGAAGCGUGAGUGACGGUAAUGGGUAAAGAAGCACCGGCUAACUACGUG